GGUAAAAUGGCUGAGAGAUAGGCGAUAAAUUGUAAAUUUAUUUACGAGAUUAUUCUCUUUUAUCA
rnacentral:tRNA from 1 species